CACGUAGGGGACGAGCGUUGUCCGGAUUCAUUGGGCGUAAAGCGCGUGUAGGCGGCCAGGUAAGUCCGUUCUGAAAGCCCGGGGCUCAACCCCGGGAGGCGGAUGGAUACUGCUUGGCUCGAGUCCGGAAGAGGCGAGUGGAAUUCCCGGUGUAGCGGUGAAAUGCGCAGAUAUCGGGAGGAACACCAAUGGCGAAGGCAGCUCGCUGGGACGGUACUGACGCUGAGACGCGAAAGCGUGGGGAGCAAACAGG
rnacentral:rRNA from 1 species